GACGAACGCUGGCGGCGUGCUUAACACAUGCAAGUCGAGCGGUAAGGCCCUUUCGGGGGUACACGAGCGGCGAACGGGUGAGUAACACGUGGGUGACCUGCCCUCAGCUCUGGGAUAAGCCUGGGAAACCGGGUCUAAUACCGGAUAUGACUCCAUGACGCAUGUUGUGGGGUGGAAAGCCUUGUGCGGCUGAGGAUGGGCCCGCGGCCUAUCAGCUUGUUGGUGGGGUGAUGGCCUACCAAGGCGACGACGGGUAGCCGGCCUGAGAGGGCGACCGGCCACACUGGGACUGAGGCACGGCCCAGACUCCUACGGGAGGCAGCAGUGGGGAAUCUUGCGCAAUGGGCGAAAGCCUGACGCAGCGACGCCGCGUGAGGGAUGACGGCCUGUGU
rnacentral:rRNA from 1 species